AGGACAUGCCCAUAGUAAAGCCAUGCUGGUUUUCCUAUAUCACCUCCCUCUAUUCCACAUGCAUUAACAUAGCUUCUGGAAAGAUCUAUUUCAUGAUCUUUCACAGCACUGAGAUAAGGAUGACAGAACGGAUUCCCUGGAGGUUUUGUCUGCAGAGCAAAAGUUGGCUUUACUAAAAUUAAGCUUCCUGAUUUUGUCCAUCUGAUAUGCCUCAGGAGUGUGGUCUCCAGCAUUUCAUGGUCACUACAGCCCAGGCAGCCUCCAAUCCUGAUGUCACCAAUCAGUUCACUUACACCGGAGAAGCACACUUGUGGUACUGCUGUUCUACUCACAACGGAGAUAUCCAGUGAACUAACUGGAAAUGGAAGCAGUAUAGCUGCUCCAGCAGAGUACCAAAUGGGGCAAUCUUCAGCUAAUGUAUCAGAGUGCACACAACUAUUUGCCAUAACUUCAGUUAGUGCUGCACUGUGCCAUGUCCUGAUUUCAACCCAGACAGAGCCAAUCACACAGCUGUUUGGCUGUUGCUGAGUGAUGGGUGCUGGGCUGCUCAGCAGCAAAGAGGCACCACCAUGAUGGUGUGGAGCAGGAGGUGGAGGCAGUACAUGCUGGGCUGAGCUGUAUCUAUGGCCUACCUAGUAUACCUUAGCUCAAAAGUAGUGUUAAAAUACAUCCUCCAAACAUGUGCAGUUUGCUGAUAUCAAGGUUUUAACGUGAAACUAAAGUUUGACUAAGAUUUGUCAAAAGAAAACAACGCUCUUAGAUUCCUAUUUCUGUAUGCUUCAGAUCCUCAUAAAACAAACAAACAAACAAAACCUUUUUGCCGUCGUUGUGUUCUUAGUAUUUUGUGUUCUUAUUGGUGA